rnacentral:rRNA from 1 species
UAGUCCACGCCGUAAACGAUGUCUACUAGGUUGUGGAGGUUCUGACACUUUCACGGCCGAAGCAAAAGUGUUAAGUAGACCGCCUGGGGAGUACGGUCGCAAGGCUAAAACUCAAAGGAAUUGACGGGGGCUCACACAAGCGGUGGGGCAUGUGGAUUAAUUCGAAGCAACGCGCAGAACCUUACCUGGGUUUGACAUGUUUGGAUGCCUAUCUGGAAACAGAGUCGGCUGCCUUUCGGGGUGAAACUUACACAGGUGCUGCAUGGCUGUCGUCAGCUCGUGUCGUGAGAUGUCGGGUUAAGUCCUUUAACGAGCGAAACCCUUGCCGUUAGUUGCCAGCGAGUAAUGUCGGGGACUCUAGCGGGACUGCCGGUGUUAAACCGGAGGAAGGUGGGGAUGACGUCAAGUCCUCAUGGCCUUUAUGCCCAGGGCUUCACACGUGCUACAAUGGUAACUACAGAGCGAAGCGAGACCGCGAGGUGGAGCAAAUCGCAAAAAAGUUGCCUCAGUUCAGA